rnacentral:rRNA from 1 species
AUUGAACGCUGGCGGCAGGCCUAACACAUGCAAGUCGAACGAGUGGCGGACGGGUGAGUAAUGUCUGGGAACCUGCCUGAUGGAGGGGUAUAACUACUGGAAACGGUAGCUAAUACCGCAUACCAUCGGAUGUGCCCAGAUGGGAUUAGCUAGUAGGUGGGGUAACGGCUCACCUAGGCGACGAGCCCUAGCUGGUCGGAGAGGAUGACCGGCCACACUGGAACUGAGACACGUUCCAGACUCCUACGGGAGGCAGCAGUGGGGAAUAUUGCACAAUGGGCGCAAGCCUGAUGCAGCCAUGCCGCGUGUAUGAAGAAGGCCUUCGGGUUGUAAAGUACUUUCAGAGGGGAGGCGUUACCCGUAGAAGAAGCACCGGCUAACUCCGUGCCAGCAGCCGCGGUAAUUC